GCCGAGGUGGCGAAAUGGUAUACGCAAGAGACUUAAAAUCUCUCGACUUAAUGUCAUGCGGGUUCGAGCCCCGCCCUCGGCACCU
rnacentral:tRNA from 1 species